UUUCAGUUUUAUAGUUUUGUUUGUGGAAACACCACGUAAAUUUAUUACUGCAGUAAUAAAUUUACGUGGUGUUUCCACAAGCAAAACUAUUAUAUUUUAUCGCCAUUCAAA